rnacentral:rRNA from 1 species
AUUGAACGCUAGCGGGAGGCCUAACACAUGCAAGUAGAACGAGUGGCGGACGGGUGAGUAAUGUCUGGGAAACUGCCCAAUGGAGGGGGAUAACUACUCGAAACGGUAGCUAAUACCGCAUACCAUCGGAUGAGCCGAGAUGGGAUUAGCUAGUGGGUGGGGUAACGGCUCACCAAGGCGACGAUCCCUAGCUGGUCUGAGAGGACGACCAGCCACACUGGGACGGAGACACGGCCCAGACUCCUACGGGAGGCAGCAGUGGGGAAUAUUGGACAAUGGGCGAAACCCUGAUGCAGCCAUCCCGCGUGUAUGAUGAAGGCCUUCGGGUUGUAAAGUACUUUCGGCAGGGAGGCGGUACUUGCAGAAGAAGCACCGGCUAACUACGUGCCAGCAGCCGCGGUAAUAC